rnacentral:rRNA from 1 species
CCUACGGGUGGCAGCAGUGGGGAAUAUUGGGCAAUGGGCGCAAGCCUGACCCAGCAACGCCGCGUGAAGGAAGACGGCUUUCGGGUUGUAAACUCUUUUUAAGAGGGAAGAGCAGAAGACGGUACCUCUUGAAUAAGCCACGGCUAACUACGUGCCAGCAGCCGCGGUAAUACGUAGGUGGCAAGGGUUGUCCGGAUUUACUGGGGGUAAAGGGCGUGUAGCCGGGAUGACAAGUCAGAUGUGAAAUUCCGGGGCUCAACCCCGGACCUGCAUUUGAGACUGUUGGUCUUGAGUAUCGGAGAGGCAGGCGGAAUUCCUAGUGUAGCGGUGAAAUGCGUAGAUAUUAGGAGGAACACCAGUGGCGAAGGCGGCCUACUGGACGGCAACUGACGGUGAGGCGCGAAAGCGUGGGGAGCAAACAGGAUUAGAUACCCGGGUAGUC